rnacentral:misc_RNA from 1 species
GAUGAAGAACGCAGCGAAAUGCGAUACUUGGUGUGAAUUGCAGAAUCCCGUGAACCAUCGAGUCUUUGAACGCAAGUUGCGCCUCAAGCCAUUAGGUUGAGGGCACGUCUGCCUGGGCGUCACAUAUCGUUGCCUGAUGCCAAUUUCCUCGUGAUGGGUGACUGUGCAGGGCGAAUGAUGGCUUCCCGUGAGCAUUGUUGCCUCAUGGUUGGUUGAAAAUUGAGUCCUUGGUAGGGAGCGCCGUGAUAGAUGGUGGUUGAGUGACGAACGAGACCCAAUCAUGUGAGACCCCUACCGAAUUUGGCCUUCAUGACCCACAUGCGUCUUUGGAACGCUCAUGACGAGACCUCAGGUCAGGCGGGGCUACCCGCUGAGUUUAAGCAUACAAUAAGCGGAGGA